rnacentral:tRNA from 1 species
GCCAUCGUGUCGCAAUCGGCUAGCGCGUUCGGCUGUUAACCGAAAUGUUGGUGCUUCGAGCCCAUCCAAUUGCG